rnacentral:tRNA from 1 species
ACUCCUCUCCCUAAUA